GUAUUGAAGAACCUGGGCCGUUUGACCCACGGAGUGGUUCUCAAUCUGGAUUUGGCUGAUUGGGCACUCAUGUUGCAGGUUAACAUGCUCCUCGGUUUUCUGACCUCCUAGAAGUUGGCAGCUGGAUCCAGAAGCUUCAACAGCCUCAGGUUCAGCCUCCUGGGCUGGCGGAUUGUAGGCCAAAGCUUGAUUUGGGUAUCAGCAAGUUAAAACUCAGGCACAUCCAUC
rnacentral:lncRNA from 10 species